rnacentral:lncRNA from 1 species
AUGGAGAAUCCCGGCUAGCAGCGUGGGAGCUGGCAGGGCUUCUGCAAGCCCUCUGCUCCCACCCUGGCCCCAUUUCACAGACGAGGAAACAAAGGCCCAAAGAAGAGUUCCGCCCGGGACGGAACGUGGCAUAGCUCGCAACAGAACCCAGUCUCCGGAGAUCCCUCUCCUCUGCACCACUUGGACGUUCCACGGAGAGGCAGCGGUGCGCGGGGCGACGGGGAGCUGCCAGAGAAGCAGUGGGGAGCCAUGGAAAGUUUCUGAACAGAGAAGCACUUAUUGGGAACUGUCAGAGCUAUGCUUCAGGAGAUGAAUCUGGCAACAACGUGGGUUAAUAUUAAUGCCCUGUACAUCCUGAGUACAUG